rnacentral:rRNA from 1 species
CUCGUAGGCGGUUCGUCGCGUCCGGUGUGAAAGUCCAUCGCCUAACGGUGGAUCUGCGCCGGGUACGGGCGGGCUGGAGUGCGAUAGGGGAGACUGGAAUUCCCGGUGUAACGGUGGAAUGUGUAGAUAUCGGGAAGAACACCAAUGGCGAAGGCAGGUCUCUGGGCCGUUACUGACGCUGAGGAGCGAAAGCGUGGGGAGCGAACA